UAAAAGAGAAUUAAAUCCUAGGUUUUGGAUCUCUUGACUUCUCUGUCUCUCUGUCUGUCUGUUUGUUUAUUCCCAGAGGGCCUGCGUUCUUCUGCCGUCUCCAUUCCCUUCCGGUUUCAUACCGAAACUAAGGCGAAAAUGACAACCUCAAAACGGCUUGCAGAUAGAAAAAUAGCGAAGUUUGAGAAAAACAUAACGAAGAGAGGGUUGAAUCCUCUGUCAUCAAGGAAGGGAUUCGAGCCUACCCGUAUCAUUAUCAUCCUCUUUGCUGUCUUGGUCAUCGCCUCAUUUGUUUUCCAGGUGGUGAGGCUGGCGCUCAGCGGUGGGGACUGAACAAUAUGGGACUUCUCCUUUAGCUCAAGAAUAUGUACUCUCUAAUUCACAACUAUAUAAACAUAUUUCAGUGCCUUUUGUAGCUUUGUUGCUCUUGGCAAUUAUUCCAAACAAUAAAAAGAAAUAUAGUUUUAUUUUAUCUUAAAGAAAAAUGUGUCAAACAAAUCCGUGAACUUAUACAUUUUAUGAAAUUA